rnacentral:rRNA from 1 species
CAGUCGCCGCGGGAAAACGUAGGUGGCAAGCGUUGUCCGGAAUUAUUGGGCGUAAAGGGCUCGCAGGCGGUUUCUUAAGUCUGAUGUGAAAGCCCCCGGCUCAACCGGGGAGGGUCAUUGGAAACUGGGAAACUUGAGUGCAGAAGAGGAGAGUGGAAUUCCACGUGUAGCGGUGAAAUGCGUAGAGAUGUGGAGGAACACCUGUGGCGAAAGCGGCUCACUGGACCAUUUCCGACGCUGAUGCACGAAAGCUAGGGGAGCAAACAGGAUUAGAUACCCCCGUAGUCCCUGUCUCUUAUAC